AUGCAGCCACCGCUGGAGCUCUCGCCGCCGGCACCCGCCUCUAGAGAAGUGGUCGUCGCAGAGUGGCCAUCUAAGAAAAUCUGCCACUGCUUGGUCUCUACCUCAGCCUCAUCUGAACACCGUGUUUGGGCAGACCUACCGGACAGCCUGCUUCACCUAAUCAUUGCUCUCCUAAGCUCAUUCCAUGAUCUCCUUGCUUUUACUGGCACCUGUCACUCUUGGCGUGCUGCGGUCUUUUCCUUCCCAUCAUCCAUAUAUGCCUUCGUCUUCCCACCUCUCCAUCUCAAAGCAGGUUUGCGUAAGGCUAAUCGGGAUUACGGCACAUGGUAUUAUCUUUUAUCAAACUACAAAUGGCGUCCUUGUGAUCCUGUGAGGACAGACUUAUCUCUUCGCCGCUCAGCUCCCCGUAAUGCUCCAAAUUACAUGCGCUAUUUGGGCUGCUCAUAUGGGCAUCUUAUUUUCUCCUGUUUGGAGCACCUUCUCCUUGUCGACGUUUACACAUGUACUAAGGUGAAGCUGCCCAAACUCCAAGCCAACAGCGGUUGUGCGAUCUAUUGUGGCAUUCUUAUGGCUCCACUCAGUUCAUCCAGCUCGUGUCUCCUCCUUUUCUCGAAAUCAUCCGUGUUCUAG
rnacentral:rRNA from 1 species